rnacentral:rRNA from 1 species
GAUCGCUGUGAUGCGGGUGGUUCGCCGCCCGUGACUCUGCGAGAAGUCCAUUGAACCUUAUCAUUUAGAGGAAGGAGAAGUCGUAACAAGGUUUCCGUAGGUGAACCUGCGGAAGGAUCAUUGUCGAGACCGGAUUACAUUGAGCGAUUUUGAUAACCUGUUGAAAUAAGGUGGAAAUUACUGCCGUGAAAAAUCCAUCCCACUCGUUGCCUCAUCGCCAUUAUGGCAGGGAGGAGCGAUGUUGGAUGGAUGCACACAUAAAACGGCGCAGCGUUGCGCCAAGGGAAAAACGAAAAAUGAGCCCUUAAAUGGGUUUGGGGGAAGGGUUGCGGCAGCACCCCACCUGGAUUGACACGACUCUCGGCAAUGGAUAUCUCGGCUCUUGCAUCGAUGAAGAGCGCAGCGAAAUGCGAUACGUGGUGCGAAUUGCAGAAUCCCGCGAACCAUCGAGUCUUUGAACGCAAGUUGCGCCCGAGGCUAUCCGGCCAAGGGCACGUCUGCCUGGGUGUCAUGCGUUAUGUCGCUCCUUGUCAAUGCCUUUCCAUCGAUGGGUGGGAGGGUGAAGGCUUGGAUGUGCAGAGUGGCUCGUCGUGCCCCUCGGUGUGGCGAGUUGAAGAGCGGGUCAUCAUCUCGUUGGCUGUGAACAAUAAGGGGUGGAUUAAAGCGAGGCCUAGGUUAUUGUUCCGUAUACGCCCGAGAGAAGAUUAAACUUUUUUUUGUGAUCCCAAAUCAUAUGUCAGAUGGCGUUUGGAAUACGACCCCAGGAUGGGCGAGGCCACCCGCUGAGUUUAAGCAUAUCAAUAAGCGGAGGAUAAGAAACUUACCAGGAUUCCCCUA